AUUGAACGCUGGCGGAAUGCUUUACACAUGCAAGUCGAACGGCAGCACGGACUUCGGUCUGGUGGCGAGUGGCGAACGGGUGAGUAAUGUAUCGGAACGUGCCCAGUCGUGGGGGAUAACGUAGUGAAAAUUACGCUAAUACCGCAUACGAUCUAUGGAUGAAAGCGGGGGAUCGCAAGACCUCGCGCGAUUGGAGCGGCCGAUAUCAGAUUAGGGAGUUGGUGGGGUAAAGGCCCACCAAGCCAACGAUCUGUAGCUGGUCUGAGAGGACGGCCAGCCACACUGGAACUGAGACACGGUCCAGACUCCUACGGGAGGCAGCAGUGGGGAAUUUCGGACAAUGGGCGGAAGCCUGAUCCAGCCAUUCCGCGUGCAGGAUGAAGGCCCUCGGGUUGUAAACUGCUUUUGUACGGAACGAAAAGGUUUCUACUAAUACUAGGAGCUCAUGACGGUACUGUAAGAAUAAGCACCGGCUAACUACGUGCCAGCAGCCGCCGUAA
rnacentral:rRNA from 1 species